AACGAACGCUGGCGGCAGGCCUAACACAUGCAAGUCGAGCGCCCAGCAAUGGGAGCGGCAGACGGGUGAGUAACGCGUGGGUAUCUACCUAGUGGUGCGGAAUAGCCCAGGGAAACUUGGAGUAAUACCGCAUAAGCCCGAAGGGAAGAUUUAUCGCCAUUAGAUGAGCCCGCGUUGGAUUAGCUAGUUGGUGGGGUAACGGCCCACCAAGGCGACGAUCCAUAGCUGGUCUGAGAGGAUGAUCAGCCACACUGGGACUGAGACACGGCCCAGACUCCUACGGGAGGCAGCAGUGGGGAAUAUUGGACAAUGGGCGCAAGCCUGAUCCAGCCAUGCCGCGUGAGUGACGAAGGUCUUCGGAUUGUAAAGCUCUUUUGGCGGGGACGGAUAAUGACGGUACCCGGCAGAAUAAGCCCCGGCUAACUUCGUGCCAGCAGCCGCGGUAAU
rnacentral:rRNA from 1 species